rnacentral:rRNA from 1 species
GCAUAUCAAUAAGCGGAGGAAAAGAAAAUAACAAUGAUUCCCCUAGUAACUGCGAGUGAAGAGGGACAAGCUCAAAUUUUAAAUCUAUCGGGUUUUACCUGAUCGAGUUGUAAUUUGAAGAUGGCGUUUUCUGUGUUUCUGAUCAGUCCAAGUCCUUUGGGAUAAGGCAUCAUGGAGGGUGAGAAUCCCGUUCGGUUGAUCAGAUUCGCUUUACGAUACGUUAUCAAAGAGUCAAGUUGUUUGGGAUUGCAGCUUAAAAUGGGAGGUAAAUUUCUCCUAAGGCUAAAUAACGGCGAGAGACCGAUAGCGUACAAGUACCGUGAGGGAAAGAUGAAAAGAACUUUGAAAAGAGAGUUAAACAGUACGUGAAAUUGUUGAAAGGGAAACGAUUGAAGCCAGUCGUACCUUCGGGUAAUCAGCCUUUUGGGUGUGAUUUUGUGGAGCGUGAAGAGUUAAACGCCUUCAUGCUUGCAUAUUCGUGCACUUUGGGUGUACUUGCCCGUAUGGUUGGUUAACAUCAAUUUUGGUGGUCAUAAAAUGACUGGAGGAAUGUAGCUUCGAUCUCGUAUUGAAGUAUUAUAGCCUUCGGUAGAUGUGAUGAUCGAGAUUGAGGAUUGCAACGGGUACCCUUCGGGGCUACCUGUCUGAUCUCUGAUCGUUGCUCUGGUACCGAAAACUUGCUUACGGUUAUCAAAGUCGAUGGUCAAUAGGUUAGAACGGGUUAAAUUCGUUAAGGAUGUUGACGUAAUGGCUUUAAACGAC